GCAUAUCAAUAAGCGGAGGAAAAGAAACCAACAGGGAUUGCCUUAGUAACGGCGAGUGAAGCGGCAACAGCUCAAAUUUGAAAUCUGGCCCUUGGGUCCGAAUUGUAAUUUGUAGAGGAUGAUUUUGGUGCGGUAUCUUCCGAGUUCCUUGGAACAGGACGCCUUAGAGGGUGAGAGCCCCGUACGGUUGAAUGCCUAGCCUCUGUAAAUCUCCUUCGACGAGUCGAGUAGUUUGGGAAUGCUGCUCUAAAUGGGAGGUAAAUUUCUUCUAAAGCUAAAUAUUGGCCAGAGACCGAUAGCGCACAAGUAGAGUGAUCGAAAGAUGAAAAGCACUUUGAAAAGAGGGUUAAAUAGCACGUGAAAUUGUUGAAAGGGAAGGAUUUGUGACCAGACUUUUUCUGGGCGGAUCAUCCGGGGUUCUCUCCGGUGCACUUCGCCCAGUAAAGGCCAGCAUCGGUUUUCGGCGUGGGAUAAAAGCAGUAGGAAUGUGGCUCUCUACGGGGAGUGUUAUAGCCUAUUGUAUAAUACCGCGCUGGGGACCGAGGUUCGCGCUUCUGCAAGGAUGCUGGCGUAAUGGUUAUCAAUCACCCGUCUUGAAACACGGACCAAGGAGUCGAACAUUUGUGCGAGUGUUUGGGUGUUAAACCCUCACGCGUAAUGAAAGUGAACGGAGGUGAGAGCCCUUACGGGUGCAUCAUCGACCGAUCCUGAAGUUUUCGGAUGGAUUUGAGUAAGAGCAUAACUGUUCGGACCCGAAAGAUGGUGAACUAUGCGUGGAUAGGGUGAAGCCAGAGGAAACUCUGGUGGAGGCUCGCAGCGGUUCUGACGUGCAAAUCGAUCGUCAAAUCUGCGCAUGGGGGCGAAAGACUAAUCGAACCAUCUAGUAGCUGGUU
rnacentral:rRNA from 1 species